UGUCCUGAUGAUACUAUUAGGAAGUGCCGUCAGAUGCGAUAGCUGACGACUUUCAUGCCUGUCUGACC
ensembl:snoRNA small nucleolar RNA, C/D box 49B